rnacentral:snRNA from 1 species
GUGUUUGCUUCAGCAGCACAUACACGAAAUUGUUACAAUAUAGAGAUUAGUAUGGCCCCUACACAAAGAUGACACGCAAAUUUCUGAAGUGUUCCAUAUUUUU